UACGUAGGGUGCAAGCGUUGUCCGGAAUUAUUGGGCGUAAAGAGCUUGUAGGCGGUCUGUCGCGUCUGCUGUGAAAAUCCGGGGCUCAACCCCGGACUUGCAGUGGGUACGGGCAGACUAGAGUGCGGUAGGGGAGACUGGAAUUCCUGGUGUAGCGGUGAAAUGCGCAGAUAUCAGGAGGAACACCGGUGGCGAAGGCGGGUCUCUGGGCCGAUACUGACGCUGAGGAGCGAAAGCGUGGGGAGCAAACAGG
rnacentral:rRNA from 1 species